GGGAGCAGAAACUCAGGAAGCAAGGACCUGCUUACUUCAUAGCUGCUUAGGAAAGGAGCCUUCUGCUGAACUCCACCCUCACAAGAGCUGUGCUGGAAGAAAACACGAGACUCCUGGAUCAGAGACACCCGUCGGUGUUACUCACAGUGCAGCAAGCAGCUUCUGGAGGCUGGGAAGCCCAAGAUCAAAGUGCUG